rnacentral:sRNA from 15 species
UUUAAACAAAUUUAUGUUAUCGAUGUGUUUCAUGUUAUCAUCGUUUCUGGCAAACAAAUACAGCAUGCAAAAUAGCAAAACGAUGGCAGAAAAACGCGAUUUAAGUAGUUUAACUGUGGUUAAAAGCAUACAUAUUGAAAAUUAAAUUGCAAUGGUCAAAAUUAUAUCGAAUAUAUUGACGUUGACAUGUGCCGAUACAGAACAUCACUACCUGCAGAGCAGCGAAAACCAUGUGCAAGGAGCGCAGUGGGAGAUUCAGCCGCUACUUACUGUACCUACCACGAAAUGAUUGAACACUGUUAGUGGGAGUACCUACAGGUUUGUUUGCGCCGCACGCAGUUAACAGCAGCAGUUGCAGAAAAUGCAUCUGCAACUCUCACCUACAAGGAAAAGAAAGUUCUUUCAAUUUUAACGGGCCACCAAUUUUAUGGAUGCGUCGGACUAUGACCAGCCUGCGAAUGUAUGCUGCAUAUCCGUUUACAAUAACUUCCAAGAAGCUAAGGCAGUAAGACUAGAGCUUCGCAGUCGUCGCAGAAGCAACAGAGAAAGAAUAAGAAGCUGCAUUUCGAACAAUAAUUAUGAAUAUGGGGACUCCGUAAGAGAGAGAAACGCGGGAAUUCAGCAACUGCGGGAACGGAAGACGAUGAACUGAAUAUGGCAAGAGACGAUCAACCAAAGGUGGCGGGCAAUCGGAACGCUCACGUACUUACCUGGAAUAUAACUACAUCUUUGAAAUUCGACGCUCAAACCUUUGACUUGAUCUGAGAUAGAGGAAUUCC